rnacentral:rRNA from 1 species
AGGACGAACGCUGGCGGCGUGCUUAACACAUGCAAGUCGAGCGGAAAGGCCUUUCGGGGUACUCGAGCGGCGAACGGGUGAGUAACACGUGAGUAAUCUGCCCAUCGCUUCAGGACAGCCAUCGGAAACGGUGAUUAAUACUGGAUAUGACAUUCCUUCGCAUGUUGGGGUGUGGAAAGUUUUUUCGGCGGUGGAUGUGCUCGCGGCCUAUCAGCUUGUUGGUGGGUAAUGGCCUACCAAGGCUUUGACGGGUAGCCGGCCUGAGAGGGUGACCGGCCACACUGGGACUGGAGACACGGCCCAGACCUCCGUACGGGAGCCGAGCAGGUGGGGAAUAGUUAGGACGAAAGUGGGGACGGAAGCCUUAGACGUCCCGAGACAACCGGCCG